rnacentral:rRNA from 1 species
AGUGAACGCUGGCGGUAGGCCUAACACAUGCAAGUCGAACGGCAGCACAGAGGAGCUUGCUCCUUGGGUGGCGAGUGGCGGACGGGUGAGGAAUACAUCGGAAUCUACUCUGUCGUGGGGGAUAACGUAGGGAAACUUACGCUAAUACCGCAUACGACCUACGGGUGAAAGCAGGGGAUCUUCGGACCUUGCGCGAUUGAAUGAGCCGAUGUCGGAUUAGCUAGUUGGCGGGGUAAAGGCCCACCAAGGCGACGAUCCGUAGCUGGUCUGAGAGGAUGAUCAGCCACACUGGAACUGAGACACGGUCCAGACUCCUAUGGGAGGCAGCAGUGGGGAAUAUUGGACAAUGGGCGCAAGCCUGAUCCAGCCAUACCGCGUGGGUGAAGAAGGCCUUCGGGUUGUAAAGCCCUUUUGUUGGGAAAGAAAUCCAGCUGGCUAAUACCCGGUUGGGAUGACGGUACCCAAAGAAUAAGCACCGGCUAACUUCGUGCCAGCCGCCGCCGUAAUAC